rnacentral:rRNA from 1 species
UGGGGAAUAUUGCACAAUGGGCGCAAGCCUGAUGCAGCCAUGCCGCGUGUGUGAAGAAGGCCUUCGGGUUGUAAAGCACUUUCAGCGGGGAGGAAGGCGAUAAGGUUAAUAACCUUGUCGAUUGACGUUACCCGCAGAAGAAGCACCGGCUAACUCCGUGCCAGCAGCCGCGGUAAUACGGAGGGUGCAAGCGUUAAUCGGAAUUACUGGGCGUAAAGCGCACGCAGGCGGUUGAUUGAGUCAGAUGUGAAAUCCCCGGGCUUAACCCGGGAAUUGCAUCUGAUACUGGCAAGCUUGAGUCUCGUAGAGGGGGGUAGAAUUCCAGGUGUAGCGGUGAAAUGCGUAGAGAUCUGGAGGAAUACCGGUGGCGAAGGCGGCCCCCUGGACGAAGACUGACGCUCAGGUGCGAAAGCGUGGGGAGCAAACAGG